CUUCAUUUACUUUCAUUAAUCUGGACUUUCGCCUUCCUCUAACUCUUAAACCAAUCGUCCCACGAUUUCAUCCAUCUACCUAGCCCAAGUCGCCGACUAUUCGCCUCUUCACCAAGCUACGAGGAAAAGAACAACAGCACAACUUACUUUUUACUAUCACAUGGAGACCAGAACUGCACACAACAGUUCAUAUAUGGUCUAACCAGUGUAUUGGAACUACAUUCAUCCAAGCAAGUUGAGGGCAGUUCAUCUCUUUCCUGUCGUGCUUUUUGGACAAGCUUUGGAAGGUUUUUACACCUUGUUAAUUAAAACAACGAAGAAGACAAAGCACGUGCCAUGCACUCACCACGGCGAGACUAAAAAUCCUCUGAGAGGUGUGUUCCUAGCGCUAUAAAUGCGCAUAGCAAGGCCCGAGAAAACGAUGACGUUCGCCGGGAUUUUCAAUGGCUGGGGAAAAAAAGGAAAUUUGAAGUCUGAAGAAUGCAAACCUGAUUCAAAAUUAUGAUCUACUAAACAACAGCUUUUGCUAUGUGUUCCUAAGACUAUCUAUAAAAGGCACCUCAAUGAACUGGAAAAAUAGCACCUCUAUUUUCUCUACAAAGUCAUCUAAAUUCACUGGAAGUAGAAGUGAACCUGUCAUUGUCUAGAUCCAGCAGGGAGAUCUUAGUUAUUUGCAGUUGGGUUGCAACAUUAUUCACAAGCCUUGCGCUGGAUUUCAGAGAAGAGUCUAUUUUGUGCUCUGUUAUUGGAAAUUGCCAAGCAGAUGGAAAAUAUGAAUUGAAGAUGCACUCACAAUGCUUCCUUGAAUUACAGUAGCCUCCUGGGAACCUGUGACCAAAUUGCUCAAAUGGAGAAGGAGCCAUAAGGAUGAUAUUGAAGAAAAAAAAAACAUGCAUCAGGAGGAUAAAUACUCCAUGAUUUUGUGAUGGAAGGAAUGCACUAACUCACAAGCUAUCCUUCAGCCUCCCCUGUUAGCCACCUUCUGUCCCAUAAUGUAUGAUGCAGCAGAACGUAUAGCAUGAAACAGAUGAAUAAAAGAUUUGUUGAACCAUAUAUCUCAGUCCAAAAGUCUAACAAACUGCUCUGGAAAAUAAACAAAAUGUAGCAUGAUGGCAGGGGUUAAGUAAGUGAAGAAAAAAAUAUGUACAAGUGUUUGUGCUGAACCUGUGUGUGAAAUAGUUAUAAUCCCUGCACAAUUUCAACCUUCAAUGCACUGGGAAGCCAAUGUCAACUUAGAAGCAUUCAGAAAUGUAAACAAGAAAUGUAUAUUUGACUUUAGCCUUUUUGCAAAUUUGCAGUCAAUCCCUCGAAGGAUAAGUAGAUAGGCUGGUUAACAUGAUGCUGCACCGGGAGCUGAGCAAUCUUGGGAGCUGAACAUCAUCAUAAUGUACACCCAGUCGAUCUGUCUCCUGCACGGCGCUGACGUUGGUUACUGAUCCUUUGGUUCAAAUAGAUGUUGGCUUGGGAGCUUUCUCAUUACUGCUCCAGACGACUCUGAUCUGCUGGUUUCUUAUGCAUGCUGGUCAAAGAAGUAGAGGUAAGGUUACUAAUUGUGUUAUGUUAUUAUUUAUUACACUUAUAGAGAGCAUGAGAAACAGGCCCUUUGGCCCAAGUUGCGCAUACCAACUGAACUAGUGCCGUUUGCCUGUAGUCGGCCCACACUUUUCCUAUCCGUGUAGUUGUAAAAUGUCUUUUAACUGCCAUAAUUGUACCAAACCUCUACCACCUCUUCUGGUAGCUCACUCCACAUAUACACCACCCUCUAUGUACACUUGACAUCUAAACUCUUGUUUUGGACUUACAUAUUUCUUGUGAAAUGGUGAUUACAGUUUUUUGGGAUUCAUAUAUGUUUCUGAAAUUUAUCCAAUAUAAAAUAUCAUAAUUCAUAAGAACAGAAUUAGGUCAAUUAGUUCAUUGAGUCUGCUCCGCCAUUCAAUCAUGGCUGAUCCUUUUUUCCCCUCCUCAGCCAUGUCCAAUCAAGAGCCUAUCAAUCUCUACCUUAAAUACAUCGAAUGAGCCAGGCUUCACAGCUGCCUGUGGUAAUGAAUUCCACAAAUUCACCAACCUCGGGCUAAAGGAAUUUCUCUGCAUCUUUUUUAAAUGGAUGUCCCUCUAUCCUGAGACUGUGCCCUCUUAAUACUAGGCUCCCCCACCAUGGGAAACAUCCUUUCCACAUCUACUUUGUUCAGACUUUUCAACAUUCUAAAGGUUUCAAUGAGAUCCCCCUCAUCCUUCUGAAUUCCAGUGAGUACGGACCCAGAGCCAUCAAAUAUUCCUCAUAUGAUAAUUCUUUCAUUCCCGGAAUCAUCCUUGUGAAUUUCCUCUGAGCCCUCUCCAAUGCCAGCACAUCUUUUCUUAGACAAGGAACCCAGAACUGUGCACAAUACUCAAGAUGAGGCCUCACCAGUGGCUUAUAAAGCUUUAGCAUCACAUCCCUGCUCUUGUAUGGUAGACCUCUUGAAAUGAAUGCUAACCUUGCAUUUGUCUUCCUUACCACCAACUGUACCUGUGUUAACUUUUAGGGUGUUCUGGACAAGGACUCCCAACUUCCUUUGCAUCUCAGAUUUUUGGAUUUUUUUCCCCAUUUAGAAAAUAACUUGCACAUUUAUUUCCCAUCUCUUAUUUUUUACAUACUUGAAAAAGCUUUUACUAUCCACUUUGAUAUUCUUUGCUAACUUGCUUUCAUGUUUCAUCUUUUCCCUCCUAAUGAUUCUUUUAGUUGCUCCCUGUAGUUUUUAAAGAGUCCCAAUCCUCUGUCUUCCCACUAAUUUUUGCAUUGUUGUAUGCCCUCUCUUUUGGUUUUACAUUAGCUUUGACUUCCCUUGUCAGCCACAGUUGUACUAAUUUGCCAUUUGAGUAUUUAUUUGUUUUUGCAAUACAUCUAUCCUGCACCUUCCUAAUUUUUUCCAGAAACUCAAGCCAUUGCUGCUCUGCUGUCAUCCCUGCCAAUAUCUCUUUCCAAUUUACUUUGGCCAACUCCUCGCUCAUACCACUGUAAUUUCCUUUACUCCACUGAAAUACUGCUACGUCAGACUUUACUUUCUCCCUGUGAAAUUUCAAGUUGAACUCAGUCAUAUUGUGAUCACUGCCUCCUAAGGGUUCUUUUACCUUAAGCUCCCUAAUCACCUCUGGUUCAUUACGUAACACUCAAUCCAGUAUGGCUGAUCCCCUAGUAGGCUCAACAACAACCUGCUCUAAAAAGCCACCUUGUAGGCAUUUAACAAAGUCACUCUGAGGUCCAUUGCCAAUCUGAGUUUCCAAUUGACCUGCAUGUUGAAAUCUCCCAUGACUAUCAUAACCUUGCCCUUUUAAUACACCUUUUCUAUUUCCCGUUGUAAUCUGUGGUCCACAUCCCAGCUACUGUUGAGAGGCCUGUACAUAACUGCUGUCAGGGUCCUUUUAUCCUUGCAGUUUCUUAACUCAACCCAUAAGGAUUCAACAUCUUCCAAUCCUAUGUCACAUCUUUACUGAUUUGAUGCUGAAAAGAUUUAAUGUAAGCUUUGUGAAAAAGAUGUAGUUUUUUGAAAAACAGGAGUAAUGAAGGGAAGAUCAAUAAAUGCCUUUUGUAGACAUAUCAACAGUUGGGCAAAAAGUGGUAACAGAAAUAAAAAGCCUGAUGUGUUUUUUCAAAAAUUCAUUACAUAACACAAGUCAAAAUUUAGUCACUGGACUAACAAAUUGGAAUAUCAGUACCUGAUACAAAAGACAGAUGAGACUGAUAUUCUUCUUCCAGACAACUUAAAAAUUCAGCAGAUAAGUGCUGGAUGCAGAAUACCUAAAUGUGCAGAAAACAUUUGUUUGGUGAGAUGCAGCUCUUUUUAUCAUGGGCUGCAGAUACAGGUGGAGCAUAGGAAGCCACGAGUAUUCAAGAUUAUAGGAAUGCAAAUUCACAUCUGUUUAUUACAAAGGAUGUUCCCUGAAAAACUGAAAGAAGGUGGGAAUCCAUAAAAGAAGAAAGUAAAAUGAGCAGCAUAUGGAGGUGAAAUUCCACAGCGUGAAACAAUCUGAAUCUAAAGGACACACAGGGAAAGAAAUCAAUUCAUGAUCAAGUUACAGAAAUUUGUCAAGAGCCACAUUUGACAACAGUAAGCAAUGAGAUGGGGAAGCCAACAAUUGAAAACUGAUAAUAACAUGCGGACGGAGAAGCACUCUGCAUUCAAUAAGAGCCAAAACAGGCUUAAAUCAAAUGCACCCUUAAUGUUCAGAUAAAUUUACGUUAACGUAUAUCUGCAGAAUACUUUUUAUCCGUUAAUAUUAGUGUGUUGAUAUUAUAUGUAUUGUUUGUGUUGUAUGUACUGUGUUUUCCCUGAAGAAAGUUUUGUCCAGCUGCAUACAUGUGUAUGGUUGAA